UGUAUUUGUAUUCGUAGUUCUUAAUAUUCUUAGUGACGUGAUUUUGUAUUUUAUAUAUUUUUGUAACAUUUAUCUACGCCCCACUUGGAAAGCAGCUAUGGUUGAAGUGGCCAGCGUAGUCAAAUAAAGUUUUGUCCUAUCCUAUCCUGUUUAUCGAGAGUGGGGGAUAUUUAUUUUCAGAAAAGUGUACACCACACACGUUUGAUUUGUUCACAUGUUAAUGCCCUGUCACACUAUUGCAUAUGAGAAAAAUAGGUACGCAGUGCGUACAUGUUGCAUGCCAUCUGAAACUUAUGAUGCGCUAUAGCCUAUAGCGCUUAUAACCUUUGGUACAACUGGCGUGAAACUUAAAAU